rnacentral:tRNA from 1 species
GAGGGCGAAUAAGAUUUGCUAACUCUUUAAUCUGGAACUAACCACCAGCCCCCUCU